rnacentral:lncRNA from 1 species
GGGGGGGUAACACAAAAAACUUUUUUAUUUUCAAUUUCUACAUUUUUCUUUUAUUUUUUCUUUUCUUUGGUGCGCUUGAGCUUUUUGAAAUACAAGUGAUUGGUUAGGAGCAUGUACAUAUGUUGCUUAUGUUUACAAAUAAAUUUGGCAUGAUGGUAGGUGAUUUUAUGUUUUUUUAUUAGACUACUAAGUUUUAUAUGUUACACUCU